rnacentral:lncRNA from 7 species
AAGUGUCUGCUAAUGGGUGUUAUAGAGAUACACUCAGGGAUGUAUAUAUCCAUAAUGAGUGCAGUAGAGCUUAACUAGUAAGAUCUCUGUCAGUUGGAUUCUAUCCAUAAAAAGAGAUGUAGUACAAUUAUUAUGUCCUAAGACUUCCAGACAAUGGAUUAUGAAGGUGCUUUUAACAUUUUUGAAGUGAUAUCUGUUGUUGGACAUUAAUUCUCUGAAGAUUACUGGCAAAUGCAUUGCAUUUAUGGAGGUACUCAACAGUAUGGAUGGCACAGCUUAGUUAGUACGUACUGCUAAGCCCGCCGCUUCUGGAGAUGAAAAUGGCUUCUGGAGUGUUGUUGUCUUGUUAGUACAGCAAAGAAGGUCUAUGGGGAAGGUUACUGCAUGUGAGUGGCAUCAACCGGAACAGCCCCUCCAGGCUUGUGGGAUAUUGCUGACCUGCACUCUACACUCGUGCUAUUUGGGGUGAUCUGCCUGCUGGGAGAUAUGUGGACUAGUGAACUGGAUAAAUCAGCAUGUAAUUCUGUAGAUGAAAAAGGUUUCAGAUCUGCCUCCAAAAUUCCAGCUGCUCCUUCAGUUAAUCUCACUUCCCUUGCUGAUCCUGCCAGGAUACCUCAGGACAGUCCAAGGAUGUGCACAGGCAACUAUCUGAAUAAAGGAAAGAAGGAAUGUCUUUAUUUUGACUAUACUGGCUGAAGCUCUGUAGUAAAGGAGCAAUAAGGUUGGAAAUUGCAUAAUUCAUCAAUUUGGAAAUGCUUGUGUAGCCCAGUUCUGUUCUAUUUGUCUGCAUCACGAUACUAGCUUAUUGCAUUUCAAUGCCAUGUUAAAAAAGCUCAGAAUAAAUGCUUGUUUACAAGUGAAGAAAAUUAGAACCUAUGCUGAGCCCGUAUAAAUUGAAAUAGUAAAAUGAAGAUUCUCCUUUCCUGAACUGCAACCAUUUUUUUCUACUGUCAGUAAUAAUAAUAAGUAGCUUCUUGAGGUCUUGAAAGGAUUAUGACCAUGUUGUGCCACAGUUCAAAAGUACCUGGUGAAUUCCUGUAAAUUUUCUCUGAAAAUUGCU